GACGAACCGUACGAACGUUAUUCGGAAUCACUGGGCUUAAAGGGUGCGUAGGCGGUGCGGAAAGUUGGGUGUGAAAUCCCUCGGCUCAACCGAGGAAUUGCGCCCAAAACUACCGUGCUCGAGGGAGACAGAGGUGAGUGGAACUUAGGGUGGAGCGGUGAAAUGCGUUGAUAUCCUAAGGAACACCAGUGGCGAAAGCGACUCACUGGGUCUCUUCUGGCGCUGAGGCACGAAAGCUAGGGGAGCAAACGGG
rnacentral:rRNA from 1 species